UACGUAGGGGGCUAGCGUUGUCCGGAAUCAUUGGGCGUAAAGCGCGCGUAGGCGGCCCGGUAAGUCCGCUCUGAAAGUCCAGGGCUCAACCCUGGAAUGCGGGUGGAUACUGCCGGGCUAGAAUCCGGAAGAGGCGAGUGGAAUUCCUGGUGUAGCGGUGGAAUGCGCAGAUAUCAGGAGGAACACCAAUAGCGAAGGCAGCUCGCUGGGACGGUAUUGACGCUGAGGCGCGAAAGCUAGGGGAGCGAACAGG
rnacentral:rRNA from 1 species